rnacentral:rRNA from 1 species
UAACCAUGAGUAAAGUGGCGCACGGGUGAGUAACACGUGACUAACCUACCCUUGAGUGGGGGAUAACUGAGGGAAACCUUAGCUAAUACCGCAUAAUACCCACGGGUCAAAGGAGCAAUUCGCUCGAGGAGGGGGUCGCGGCCGAUUAGUUAGUUGGCAGGGUAAUGGCCUACCAAGACGAUGAUCGGUAUCCGGCCUGAGAGGGCGCACGGCCACACUGGGACUGAAACACGGCCCAG